UACGGGGGGGGCGAGCGUUGUUCGGAAUUACUGGGCGUAAAGGGCUCGUAGGCGGCCAACUAAGUCCGACGUGAAAUCCCUCGGCUUAACCGGGGAACUGCGUCUGAUACUGGAUGGCUUGAGUUCGGGAGAGGGAUGCGGAAUUCCAGGUGUAGCGGUGAAAUGCGUAGAUAUCUGGAGGAACACCGGUGGCGAAGGCGGCAUCCUGGACCGAUACUGACGCUGAGGAGCGAAAGCCAGGGGAGCAAACGGG
rnacentral:rRNA from 1 species